rnacentral:rRNA from 1 species
CAGUCGCCGCGGUAAUGCGAAGGGUGCAAGCGUUAAUCGGAAUUACUGGGCGUAAAGCGUGCGUAGGCGGUGAGUUAAGUCUGCUGUGAAAUCCCCGGGCUCAACCUGGGAAUGGCAGUGGAUACUGGCUCGCUAGAGUGUGUCAGAGGAUGGUGGAAUUCCCGGUGUAGCGGUGAAAUGCGUAGAGAUCGGGAGGAACAUCAGUGGCGAAGGCGGCCAUCUGGGACAACACUGACGCUGAGGCACGAAAGCGUGGGGAGCAAACAGGAUUAGAUACCCCAGUAGUCCCUGUCUCUUAUAC